UCACUUGCAAUAACAUCAAGCUUAAUUAUUAUUUUUGCUGUCCUCGCAUACCCCAUUCUGACAACCCUUUCUCCCCUCCCUCAAAACCAAAACUGGGCACUCUCCCACGUAAAGACAGCAGUAAAACUAGCCUUCUUCAUCAGCUUACUUCCCCUAUUCCUAUUCCUAAACGAAGGCCUAGAAGUAAUUAUCACCAACUGAAACUGAAUAAAUAUUGCCACCUUUGACAUAAACAUCAGCCUUAAAUUUGACCACUACUCAAUUAUCUUUACCCCAGUCGCACUAUACGUGACCUGGUCUAUCCUGGAAUUUGCAUCAUGAUACAUACACGCAGACCCUAAUAUAAAUCGCUUCUUCAAGUACCUUUUAAUCUUCCUAAUCGCAAUAAUCAUCCUAGUUACAGCAAACAACAUAUUCCAACUCUUCAUCGGCUGAGAAGGUGUGGGAAUCAUAUCAUUUCUCCUCAUCGGCUGAUGGCACGGCCGAGCCGACGCAAACACCGCAGCUUUACAAGCAGUUCUCUACAAUCGCCUAGGAGACAUCGGACUGAUCUUCACCAUAGCAUGAAUCGCAAUAAACCUCAACUCAUGAGAAAUACAACAAAUAUUUGCCUCUGCCAAAGACAUAGACCUCACCCUCCCCCUACUAGGACUCGUCAUUGCUGCAACCGGUAAAUCCGCUCAAUUUGGACUCCAUCCAUGGCUCCCCUCCGCCAUGGAGGGUCCCACACCAGUCUCUGCCCUACUACAUUCAAGCACAAUGGUUGUGGCAGGUAUCUUCCUCUUAGUCCGAAUAAGUCCCUUAAUAGAAAACAACCAGACUGCCCUCACCACCUGUCUCUGCCUAGGCGCCCUAACUACCCUCUUCACUGCCACCUGUGCCCUUACCCAAAAUGAUAUCAAGAAAAUCGUUGCCUUCUCCACCUCUAGCCAACUAGGUCUAAUAAUAGUUACCAUUGGACUUAACCAACCACAAUUAGCCUUCCUACACAUUUGUACUCAUGCAUUCUUCAAGGCAAUACUCUUCCUAUGUUCAGGCUCAAUUAUCCACAGCUUAAAUGACGAACAAGACAUCCGAAAAAUAGGAGGCAUGCAUUGCCUCACCCCCUUCACCUCUUCAUGCUUAACCAUCGGAAGCCUAGCCCUCACGGGCACCCCCUUUCUAGCCGGAUUUUUCUCCAAAGACGCCAUCAUCGAAGCACUCAACACAUCCUACCUUAACGCCUGAGCCCUUGUCUUAACCCUACUAGCAACUUCAUUCACAGCCAUCUAUAGCCUACGUGUUAUCUACUUUGUGUCAAUAGGACACCCCCGCUUUAACUCCCUCUCCCCUAUCAACGAAAACAACCCUGCGGUAAUCAACCCCAUCAAACGACUAGCGUGAGGAAGUAUCAUCGCCGGCUUGCUGAUUUCCUCCAACAUUAUUCCAACCAAAACGCCCGUCAUAUCUAUGCCUCCAAUACUAAAACUGGCCGCUCUAACAGUAACAGUCCUAGGACUUCUAAUAGCCCUAGAACUAGCAACCCUCACAAACAAACAAUUUAAACCCACUCCCACCCUAAUUCCCCACCAUUUCUCCAACAUGCUAGGGUUCUUCCCACCAAUUAUCCACCGUCUCGCCCCAAAACUAAAUCUAUUCCUAGGUCAAACCAUCGCAAGCCAGACAAUCGACCAAACUUGAUUAGAAAAAUCAGGCCCCAAAGCUCUCAUCAACCUAAAUUUGCCUUUAAUCACAACAACAAGUAACAUUCAACAAGGCCUAAUUAAAACCUACCUGGGCCUAUUCCUCCUAACUCUCACCCUCGCCCUAUUAAUCACCUACUAAACUGCCCGAAGUGCCCCCCGACUCAACCCCCGAGUCAAUUCUAACACUACAAAAAGAGUGAGAAGUAGCACCCAUCCACUAAUAAUCAACAUCCAACCCCCAGAAGAAUACAUCAACGCCACUCCCCCUGCAUCACCACGAAAUACAGAAAACUCGCCCAACUCGUCAACCGACACCCAUGAAGACUCAUAUCAAACCCCUCCAAACACCACAAAAGCUAAUACCACACCCACUAUGUACACGACCAUAUGCACUACAACAGGCCAACUCCCUCAAGCCUCAGGAUAUGGCUCAGCAGCCAAAGCUGCUGAAUAUGCAAAUACAACUAACAUCCCUCCUAGAUAAAUCAAAAACAACACCAACGACAAAAAAGGACCCCCAUGUCCAACUAAAACCCCACACCCCAUACCUGCAACAACUACUAACCCCAAAGCAGCAAAGUAUGGAGAAGGGUUGGACGCAACCGCAACCAAUCCUAAGACAAAACAAAAUAAAAUUAAGUACAUAAUAAAACACAUAAUUCCUGCCAGGACUCUAACCAAGACUUAUGGUCUGAAACACCAUCGUUAUUUUUUAACUACAAGAACCUUCAUGGCCAACCUACGAAAGACCCAUCCCCUUUUUAAAAUUGCAAACGAUGCACUAGUUGAUCUUCCCACCCCCGUCAAUAUCUCAGCAUGAUGAAAUUUCGGCUCACUAUUAGGCCUAUGCCUUAUCUCCCAAAUCCUAACAGGCCUAUUCCUAGCCAUACACUACACUUCAGAUAUCGCAACAGCCUUUACAUCCGUGACACAUAUUUGUCGCGACGUCAACUAUGGAUGACUUAUUCGGAAUAUACAUGCUAAUGGCGCAUCUUUCUUCUUCAUCUGCAUCUACCUUCACAUUGGUCGGGGUCUGUACUACGGCUCCUAUCUCUACAAAGAAACUUGAAACAUUGGAGUCAUCCUCCUACUAUUAGUCAUAAUAACUGCCUUCGUUGGCUAUGUUCUCCCCUGAGGACAAAUAUCAUUCUGAGGGGCUACCGUCAUCACAAAUCUACUUUCUGCAGUCCCCUAUGUAGGAAACACCCUGGUUCAAUGAAUUUGGGGCGGUUUCUCUGUUGAUAACGCCACCCUCACCCGUUUCUUUGCCUUCCACUUUCUACUUCCAUUCGUCAUUUUAGCUGCAACUAUCAUCCACCUUCUCUUCCUGCAUGAAACCGGCUCAAACAAUCCAACAGGUCUAAACUCUGAUGCAGACAAAAUCUCUUUCCACCCAUACUUCUCAUACAAAGACCUCUUAGGAUUUGCAAUCCUCCUCCUUGCACUCACCUGCCUAGCCCUAUUCUCACCUAACCUCUUGGGAGACCCAGACAACUUUACUCCUGCAAACCCUCUAGUCACCCCUCCUCACAUCAAGCCAGAAUGAUACUUUCUGUUCGCCUACGCUAUCCUCCGCUCAAUUCCCAAUAAACUAGGCGGGGUUCUAGCACUACUAUCCUCAAUUCUUGUCCUAAUAAUCGUCCCCUUCCUCCACACAUCCAAACAACGAAGCCUAACAUUCCGCCCUCUAACACAACUAUUAUUCUGGACCCUAGUUGCAGACGUACUCAUCUUAACUUGGAUUGGAGGUAUACCUGUUGAACACCCCUUCAUCAUCAUUGGGCAAGUUGCAUCACUUCUCUAUUUCUUACUGUUCCUUGUCCUACUCCCCCUAGCAGGAUGACUAGAAAACAAAGCCCUAGGAUGAUCAUGCAUUAGUAGCUCAAUGCCAGAGCGUCGGUCUUGUAAAUCGGCGGCCGGAGGUUUGAACCCUCCCUAUUGCUUCAAAAAAAGGAGAUUUUAACUCCCACCACUAACCCCCAAAGCUAGUAUUCUUACGUUAAACUAUUUUUUGAUAUAAUUAUAUAUACAUGUAUUCACACCAUGUAUUUAUGCUAACCAAUAAAUGAGUAUAUGGUGUAAAUGCAUAUAUAUAUGUAUUAAUCAACAUUUACCUGUAAUCAAAGGACAUAUGUGCAUUCAAUGGUACUCGUAAAUGUAAUGUACAGUAACCUAUAAUUAAUAUACUUUAAACAAUAAUAUUACAUAUUAAUCAUCAGCGAUAAUAGAGCGUAGUGAGAGAUCACCAAUUAGUAGGUAUUCAGAGUGUUGACGGUUCUUGAUAGUCAAGGACAAACACAGCGUGGGGGUUACACAAAUUGAACUAUUACUGGCAUUUGGUUCCUACCUCAGGUGCAUGGAUAAGAAAGAAUUCCACUGACGUUCCUUCAUAAAUGGCAUAAGUUAAUGGUGGAUAACAUGAAUCCUCGUUACCCACCAAGCCGAGCAUUCUUUCCAGCGGGUAAGGGGUUUAUAAUUUUUUUCUUAUCAUCUCAUUUGACAUCUCAGAGUGCACGCACAGAGCAUAUAAUAUGGAAGUAGAACAUAAUUUUUUUAUGGAAGAGAAUAGUCAGUAUGAAUGGUGAAAAGGCUUGACCUGAAGAAUUACAUAAUAGGAUAUCACGAGCAUAACGUGCUAACCUUCUACUCCCAACAUAUCUAUUAAUCCACCCCGUUUUUAUUACGCAACCCCCCCCCCCCCCCCCCAAAAACAGAGGAAGCCCCACAAUAACUUGAUUUUAAUCUAAAAAUGCACUAUUUACACUAUUUAAAAUAUUUUAAGAAGCUGAUGUAGCUUAACCAAAGCAUGACACUGAAGAUGUUAGGAUGGACCCUAGAAAGUCCCAUAAGCACAAAGGCUUGGUCCUAGCUUUAUUGUCAGCUCUAGCUAGAUUUACACAUGCAAGUAUCCGCCCCCCCGUGAGAAUGCCCAUGAUUCCCUGUUUGGGAACAAGGAGCCGGUAUCAGGCACACCUAACCCACUGAGCCCACGACACCUUGCUUUGCCACACCCUCAAGGGAACCCAGCAGUGAUAAACUUUAAGCCAUAAGUGAAAACUUGACUUAGUUAAAGCUAAGUAGGGCCGGUCAAAUUCGUGCCAGCCACCGCGGUUAUACGAGAGGCCCAAGCUGACAAACCACGGCGUAAAGAGUGGUUAAGGAAACUUGAAACUAAAGUCGAACGCUCUCUUCGAGCUGUUAUACGCGUACGAGACUACGAAGCUCAGCCACGAAAGUGACUUUACAACCCCUGACCCCACGAAAGCUAAGAAACAAACUGGGAUUAGAUACCCCACUAUGCUUAGCCGUAAACAUUGAUUUUACAUUACACUUAAUAUUCCGCCCGGGAAUUACAAGCACUAGCUUAAAACCCAAAGGACUUGGCGGUGCUUAAUAUCCACCUAGAGGAGCCUGUUCUAUAACCGAUAAUCCCCGCUUAACCUCACCCCCUCUUGCCCUUACCGCCUAUAUACCACCGUCGUAAGCCUACCCUGUGAAGGCCCAAUAGUAUGCAAAACUAGUAUAGCCCCGAACGUCAGGUCAAGGUGUAGUACAUGAGAGGAGAAAGAAAUGGGCUACAUUCAUCAAUUCUAGUGAACACGAAUGAUGCACUGAAAACCUAUGCAGCUGAAGGAGGAUUUAGUAGUAAGAGAGAAACAGAGUGUCUCCCUGAAACCGGCUCUUAAGCGCGCACACACCGCCCGUCACCCUCCCCAUAGCACCCGGCUAAAACAUAAAUAAAGCACAAACGAACGCUAUUUUACGGAGAGGAAAGUCGUAACAUGGUAAGCAUACCGGAAGGUGUGCUUGGCUAAAUCAGAGUGUAGCUAAGACAGAUAAAGCAUCUCCCUUACACUGAGAAGUCACUUGUGCAAAUCAAGUCACCCUGACGCCCAUCAGCUAGCCCCACCUAUAAAAACAACAUACCACCAUAAAUAACCCCAAAACCACGCACUCCCCUAAAACAAAUCAUUUUCCAUCACCUAAGUAUGGGCGACAGAAAAGGACAUCCAUGGAGCUAUAGAAAAAGUACCGUAAGGGAACGCUGAAAUAGAGAUGAAACAGCCCAGUAAAGCCCUAAAAAGCAGAGAUUAAACCUCGUACCUUUUGCAUCAUGACUUAGCUAGCACCCCCAAGCAAAGAGCAUCUUUAGUUUGGCACCCCGAAACUAGUGUGAGCUACUCCAAGACAGCCUAUUCAAUAGGGCAAACCCGUCUCUGUGGCAAAAGAGUGGGAAGAGCUUUGAGUAGAGGUGACAGACCUACCGAACCUAGUUAUAGCUGGUUGCCUGAGAACUGGAUAGAAGUUCAGCCUCCCGGCUUCUCCAUUCAUAUACUAUUCCAAUAUGACUGCCCCCAGAUCUAAAAGAAACCCGCGAGAGUUAUUCUAAGGAGGUACAGCUCCUUUGAACCAAAAUACAAUUUUAUAAGGAGGGUAAAGAUCAUAAUCUUAACCAAGGCAGAAUGUCCUAGUGGGCCUAAAAGCAGCCACCCCUUUCAGAAAGCGUUAAAGCUCAGACAUACCUCUCCGCCCUAUAUCCCGAUAAUCUAAUCUUAACCCCCUAGCCCUAUCAGGCCGUUCCAUGCAAACAUGGAAGCGAUAAUGCUAACAUGAGUAACAAGAGGAUUUAUUUUAUCUGCGCUCCUCUCCCAGCACACGUGUACAUCGAAACGGACCAACCACCGAAACUUAACGGCCCCAAACAAAGAGGGAAUUGAAAGACAAACAUGAUAUACUAGAAAAUCAUCCAGCACGCAACCGUUAACCCCACACUGGUGUGCCAUUAAAGGAAAGACUAAAAGAAAAAGAAGGAACUCGGCAAACACAAGCCUCGCCUGUUUACCAAAAACAUCGCCUCUUGUACAACCACAUUAAAACAAAUAAGAGGUCCCGCCUGCCCAGUGACAACUGGUUCAACGGCCGCGGUAUUUUGACCGUGCAAAGGUAGCGUAAUCACUUGUCUUUUAAAUGAAGACCUGUAUGAAUGGCAUCACGAGGGCUUAGCUGUCUCCUUUUUCUAAGUCAGUGAAAUUGAUCUCCCCGUGCAGAAGCGGGGAUAAAAACAUAAGACGAGAAGACCCUAUGGAGCUUUAGACACCAGAAUAGCACAUGUUAAGACACCCUGAAUAAAGAACUGAACUUAAUGGCCCCCCUAUUCCAAUGUCUUCGGUUGGGGCGACCAUGAGGAACAAAAACCCCUCAUGUGGAAUGGGAGUACCACAACCCACACACUAUUUUUCCUAUACUCCUACAACCAAGAGCUACAACUCAAACUGACAGAAAUUCUGACCAACAAUGAUCCGGCAAUGCUGAUCAACGGACCAAGUUACCCUAGGGAUAACAGCGCAAUCCCCUUUUAGAGCCCAUAUCGACAAGGGGGUUUACGACCUCGAUGUUGGAUCAGGACAUCCUAAUGGUGCAGCCGCUAUUAAGGGUUCGUUUGUUCAACGAUUAAAGUCCUACGUGAUCUGAGUUCAGACCGGAGCAAUCCAGGUCAGUUUCUAUCUAUGCCCAUAAUUCUUUUUUAGUACGAAAGGACCGAAAAGAAAAGGCCCAUGCUAUAAGUAUGCCUUAUCCCUACCUAAUGAAAUCAACUAAACUAGGUAAAGGAACAUGCCCUCAACCCCGUCAAAGAGAAUGACAU